UUUGUUUUGGUGUAAAUAGCACAUAAAAUUUUGAUUUUUAAGGAAAUUAUUUAAACAAAU
rnacentral:tRNA from 1 species